GAUGAACGCUGGCGGCGUGCCUAAUACAUGCAAGUCGAGCGAACAGAUAAGGAGCUUGCGCCUUGGACGUUAGCGGCAGACGGGUGAGUAACACGUGGGUAACCUACCUGUAAGACUGGAAUAACUACGGGAAACCGGGGAUAAUCCCGGAUAAGAUUUAGAACCGCAGGGUGGUAAGGUGAAAGAUGGUUGUGCUGUCACGUAUAGAUGGACCCGCGCCGUAUUGGCUGGUUGGUAAGUUAACGGCUUACCAAGGCAAGGAUUCGUAGCCGACGUGAGAGGGGGAUCGGCCACACGGGAACUGAGACACGGUCCAUGCGACUACGGGACGCAGCAGAAUCGAACGGGACGCAAUGGUCGAAAGUCUGACGGAGCGACGCCGCGCGAGAUAUGAAGGCGCUGCGAGCGGAAAACUGUGUUACUAGGGAAGAACAGAUUUGUAAUGAAAUGUGGACUGCUUGACGGUAACUAAUAAGAAAGCCCCGGCUAACUACGUG
rnacentral:rRNA from 1 species